UACGGAGGGGGCUAGCGUUGUUCGGAAUUACUGGGCGUAAAGCGCACGUAGGCGGUGGUGCAUGUCAGAUGUGAAAGCCCUGGGCUUAACCUAGGAAUUGCAUUUGAAACUGCGCCGCUAGAGACCGGAAGAGGGUAGUGGAAUUCCCAGUGUAGAGGUGAAAUUCGUAGAUAUUGGAAAGAACACCAGUGGCGAAGGCGGCUACCUGGUCCGGUACUGACGCUGAGGUGCGAAAGCGUGGGGAGCAAACAGG
rnacentral:rRNA from 1 species